CUGAUGCCCCUGCCCCACACACACCACUGCAUGAAGGCCGCUCAUACACCCAAAGGAAUACUGAUGCCCCUGCCCCACACACACCACUGCAUGAAGGCCGCUCAUACACCCAAAGGAAUACUGAUGCCCCUGCCCCACACACACCACUGCAUGAAGGCCGCUCAUACACCCAAAGGAAUACUGAUGCCCCUCCCCCACACACACCACUGCAUGAAGGCCGCUCAUACACCCAAAGCAACCACACCUUUGACACAGCUGCACCUGUGUCAAUUAAUCACAUGACCCCCAACAUGAGAACAGUGUUAAAGAGAGGAUAUUUGUGUUUUGUUUUGUAAGAUGGCAGACGCCCGUCCUACUCCGACCCAUACGGACGGUAUCCCUAGAGGUCCAAAAUGCUCCAUGCCAAAUCCUUAACUCCAACUUUCUAUGGUCCUUCUUUUAUUGUGUACUUUUUAAACUGUUUGUAAAAGGAAGAAAACUCAUAGGAAACUCAUUUGUCUGUUGUAAGGUCAGUGAAGCAGAUGAAUGAGUACAAUGUAGAUUGUUGAAGAAGUACAUCUGGCGGAAUAUUAUGUGUUUGUUACAUACAGUAGAAUAAAAGACACAGCGGUGGGCCACGUGCAUUAUAUUACUGUAUGUACCUCUGUACAUGUUGGGUUUCCUAAUGGAGACUACUUUUGUAAUAAAAGCAUGCUCAUUUAAGAAUAUCUAUUGGAAUGUCUUUUUCAUCCAGGACGACACUGAUUCUGGGUCUGGGAAGCUGGACAAUAGUAUUGGAUUUCUGGUUUCUGUAUUGUGAAGCUUUCUAUGUACAGUUUGUCACCUGGCUGUUUUAUUUUGAAGUCCUUUGGCAUUCAUUACUGUAUGUCAUUGUAAGCAUUUUGGCUGUGUGCCAAAAGGAUGUGAAUGUGUACUGUUGGUUUUUGGAACUUAUUAAAUAUAAUGAUGUCAAAUCAAAUAGUGGAUUUGCUUGUUUUAGGGCUAAUUUCUGUUCAGUGAUAAUAAAAAUGUAUGCAAAAGAGACCCAGGUCUCAAUGCUAAAAUAAAGGUAAAAAAGC
ensembl:lncRNA